CCUUCGCCAAUACGAUCCACUUCACUUUGCAUCGCCGCCCACCUCUACACCAUCCUCUCCGCCUCCGCUCUGCUCCCCUUCUUCUCUCCCCUCCGCCUCGCCGCCCAAGUAGAGGAGGCGCUGAAAAGCUCGUGCAGAGGAAGGUCCAAGCGGCCUUCAGCACCCACCGCCAUGACAUCGUCCUCUCCUCCUCUGCUACCACGAUGAAGGGAUCGCGUGGAGGAGAGUUCGCCGACCCUGCGACGGCAUUGCGCUCGCGUUGGUACCGACCAAGCGCUCGAGGACAGCCACGGCGCCGCGCUGUUCAUGGCCACCGUCGACGUCCUCGCGGUGUAUCUGGGCGUUGACUAACGAAGGGAACAACGUCUAUGAUAUCCGCUGAAGGUCGUUGAUGGAAUCCCAAUGGAGCAAACUUACUGUUCGUGGGUGCUGGCGAGGUUAGUCAAAAAUUAUGUAAUUGCAACUUUUGCUCAACUGUUAAAAAAUGAUAUCUAACACAUAUGAUGUUGCAAUUUACUGCAAGCUGAAACAAGUAUUGCGAAUCUCAUUGCUCUUGAAAUUGCAAAAUAGUAAAUUACUCCCUCCGAUCCAUAAUAGUUGUCGGAAAUUUAGUUCAAAUUAGUUUAAAUUAGAUCAAGUUUGAACUAAAUGCCAAUGUGGUUAGUACAGUAUGAUUGUUCCUGCUAAUACAUGUUGAUAUUAGUUGAUUACAGAACAAUGCUCAAACUGAAGUGUGUCGCAAGAAGGUUCUUCGCCAGUACAAGGUCCCUUUGUAGUGUUAUUUGGCCAUGAUGAACUUUCAGGUAGCGCUGUGGAUUUCUUCCUAAUUGAAAUACUUGCUGAAUGCCUGCAGCUCUGCAGCGAGGAUUCCAACCUGCAGUUUUGUGGCGAUGGUGGUUGACUGUAAUUUGGCUGAUUAAUAAUAUUUGAUUGCAUGGAGUUGAAGAUCCCACAACAGCGACCUAACCGUGGUCAGCUCUCGAGCCCUGGAUAUCUCCACUCCUAUCUUGAACAAUGAAUCCCCACCUGCCCUGUCCAGGCAAUGCAGGGAAAGCGACAUCAACAUCAGCUUUAUAUCAUCCCCUACAGGUGCCGGCAGUUUCCAUACACUGUGCCAAUUCAAUCAGACUGAUCUCCCCUCGGCCAAGAUUAUUAAUAUUCCGCACUCUCACCAUCCUUGUUUCUCACAUAGACUCUAUAUGGUGAUAUCCCUGAAACAGUCCUUGGUUAGGCCUCAUUGCUAUUAUUUUGCGGACAUAUCCCAGUCUGAGGGUUGUAUUUACCGUAGAUUAUUUCUAGCUUUCGAUUCAAGGAUUAAUAUCAUUUGUUUCUUGUGACAUGUAGAUUCAAACCAGUAAGUUUUCCCGUUGCUACAUUCUCAGACAUGAUUCUUUUUUCACAACAUAUUCGGAUAAUAUGGAAUUAGGCUCAUAUUUAGUUCAUAUGGAUCUAAGCUACUGAUUCAUGAUAAACUAAUAAGGGAUUGUUUCUGGACUGUGACUACGAAUGAGCAACACACACUGCAACAAUGAAUUUGAUUCUCUAAUUAAACGGUAUGCUAGCAUUGCAGCUGCCUGAAGGUUCUUACUAUCUUUUUGUGCUAUCUUGCAAUUUAUGAUUUAUUUUAAGUGGUACAUAGUUAUGGCAUUUUUUUUAACCAAGAGUUUUCCCACCAGCCGCCAUAGCCUUGACAAGUUGUUGGGGGUCAACUUGCAAAUUUUAUAUCCUUUAGUUUUCGUUAGUAACAACUUGGUGUUUUUCAGCUGGCUGCAUCAAAUUGAAAAUUUAUUGCUAGGCUGAACUGGGCUCUACAAUUGGAUGCCGCAAAAUUCGAGCCAGGCAUCUUUGGAUUGUACGAUUGAUCAU